rnacentral:rRNA from 1 species
UCGGAUUGCAGUCUGCAACUCGACUGCAUGAAGCCGGAAUCGCUAGUAAUCGCGGAUCAGAAUGCCGCGGUGAAUACGUUCCCGGGUCUUGUACACACCGCCCGUCACACCAUGGGAGUCGGAAAUGCCCGAAGCCGGUGGCCUAACCGAUAAGGGAGGAGCCGUCGAAGGCAGGUCUGAUGACUGGGGUGAAGUCGUAACAAGGUACC